AUUGAACGCUAGCGGCAGGCCUAACACAUGCAAGUCGAACGAGUGGCGGACGGGUGAGUAAUUUCUGUGAAACUGCCUGAUGGAGGGGGAUAACUACUGGAAAUGGUAGCUAAUAGCGCAUACCAUCGGAUGUGCCCAGAUGGGUUUAGCUAGUAGGUGGGGUAAAGGCUCACCUAGGCGACGAUCCCUAUCUGGUCCGAGAGGAUGACCAGCCACACUGGAACUAAGCCACACUCAGGGCUCCUGAGGAGGGCAGCGGUGGGGAAUCUGGCACAAUGGGCGCAAUCCUGAUGCAGCCAUGCCGCGUGUAGGCAGAAGGCCUUCGGGUUGUACAGUACUUUCAGCGGGGAGGCAUUGCCCGCAGAAGAAGCACCGGCUAACUCCGUGCCAGCAGCCGCGGUAAUAC
rnacentral:rRNA from 1 species